CAAAACAUAUCAGAUGCAUUUCCAUGAACACCAAAGGAGGCACCUCAUGCAUCUGGGACUGGGAGAUGAUGCAUGUGGAAAGGGAAGGACAGCCCUGUGUGAUUUUGUCAGUCUGCUGUGCUGCCUAAAUGACAUGGAAUCUGCUCCCACAAAGAUGCUGGGCAUUUCUCUGCAUAUGCUGCCAUGUCAUAUGAAUUUGGGAAAGGAGGACAAGAGAGGAGACAAAAUAUGUGGCAGAAUAAGAAGGUGAUGCUGCAGAUACUCCCUCAGGCAGGCAUUGGACUUCGCAGUGAUUGAAGUAGAUGAUCUCCAAAGCUCCAGGAAGUGACACAGAGACCUAGAAAAAAAGCAGGUGAUGAGAAGACACAGGGAGAAGUCCUUGUGACAAUGGAGGCAGAGUUAGGGUGAUUCUGCGACGAUUCCAUGAACACCAAGGAUUGAUGACAGCCACCAGAAACUGGGAGAGGCUUGGAAGCACUCCUCUCUUGGGUCUCCAAGAAGAAGCUCUCUCUGCUAACACCUCAGUUCUGGCAUCACGGCUUCCUGAACCAUGGAAGUACAGGCGAAGGAAUUCAGGAGUGUUUUUCCAGGACCUUUCUAUCUAGCAUGUUGUACUGCUAUCAACUGAAGAUAAGACAUGGGGCAUUUUAGAAAAGCCACAUGACUGUGAUACCGACCCCUUUCAUCCCGUCUAUGGAAGACACAGUGACUGAUAAUAACUUCAGUAACUCACCCAAUGUCUGAACUCAAACACGAAUCGGCAGUCUGAAGGCAUAAGCAAUUAUUUCACAGAAGUGUGAGGUUGGAUUGCAGGCUCCUGAAAAAAAAAGAGCAUGUUGCAAAGUUAUUCUAUUUGAAAAUAACAAGGUAAUUUUUGUUAAGAUCAAAGGCUGAUUUCAAAGAAAAGACCUCCCUGAAUAUUUUCCUCCUUCUGGUAUCUGAUGUGUAUGUAUGCAAAUACAACUUCAAACCCAAAGGUUACACAGAAAAAUACUGCAUGGAACACUGGAUUUGGAACCAGAAAACUCCCUUUCUCCAGCUGUGACUUUGGACAAGCCACAUGUCCUCUCCAGACCUCAGUGCUGUCCUCUGCAGAAGGAGCCAACCCUUCAACAGGCCUGCGUGGAGACUUCUGUGUGGGAAGAGCUAUGAAGGAUCAAUAAGCUACCAUCUGCCAAGUUCAUGCCGUGCUAUGAGUACUGCACCCCUGUUUACUUCACUCCAUUCACACAAAGCCCUUUGAUGGAGACAUUGCAAGCCCAGGUCCAGAGAGUUUAGCCACACAGUAAGUGGAAAAGCCAAGAUUCAAACUCAAGUCAUUGGCCCCAAAACCUUGUCUUCCUCUGCUCACCUUCAUCUAGGCUUAUAUGUGAUAAAGAAUGUUGAAACUGGGAAGAGCUGGAUAUGUAAUAACUAAAGGGUUUUUGUUUUUGUACUGGAGAUUGAACCCAGGGAUAUUCACUCAACCACUGAGUCACAUCCCCAGACAUAUUUUGUAUUUUAUUCAGAGACGGUAUCUUACUGAGUUGUUUAGGGACUCUAUAAAUUGCUGAGGCUGGCUUUGAACUCAUGAUCCUCCUGCCUCAGCCUCCUGCACUGCUGGGAUUACAGGUGUGCGCCAACACACAGUGGGAAUUUUGAAUGCAUUUUUCAUAAAGAAACAAUAAAUGGGGCUGUUCAGUUUAGGGUUUUUGUUUUUAUUUUGUGGUGCUGGGGAUUGAAUCUGGGAUCUCAUACAUGCUAGGCAAAAGUUCUACCCCAGCUACACCCCCAGUCCUACCCGUGGUUUUAAUUGGAUUUAUGCUGUCCUCCUAAACUAUUUUCCUUUGCCUUUCCUCCUCCUCCUCCUCCUUCUCCUCCUCCUCC